rnacentral:rRNA from 1 species
AAUAGAUACCCGGGUAGUCCACGCCGUAAACGAUGAGUGCUAAGUGUUAGGGGGUUUCCGCCCUUAGUGCUGCAGCUAACGCAUUAAGCACUCCGCCUGGGGAGUACGGUCGCAAGACUGAAACUCAAAGGAAUUGACGGGGGCCCGCACAAGCGGUAGAGCAUGUGGUUUAAUUCGAAGCAACGCGAAGAGCCUUACCUGGUCUUGACAUCCCGCUGACCGCUAUGGAGACAUAGCUUUCCCUUCGGGGACAGCGGUGACAGGUGGUGCAUGGUUGUCGUCAGCUCGUGUCGUGAGAUGUUGGGUUAAGUCCCGCAACGAGCGCAACCCUUGUCCUUAGUUGCCAUCAUUCAGUUGGGCACUCUAAGGAGACUGCCGUACAAAUACGGAGGAAGGUGGGGAUGACGUCAAAUCAUCAUGCCCCUUAUGACCUGGGCUACACACGUGCUACAAUGGACGGUACAAACGGUUGCGAAGUCGCGAGACGGAGCCAAUCCGAGAAAGCCGUUCUCAGUUCGGAUUGCAGG